UACGUAGGGUGCGAGCGUUAAUCGGAAUUAUUGGGCGUAAAGCGCGCGUAGGUGGCCUCAUAAGUCCGCUGUGAAAGUCAAAGGCUCAACCUUUGAAAGCCGGUGGAUACUGUGAGGCUAGAGUACGGAAGAGGCGAGUGGAAUUCCUGGUGUAGCGGUGGAAUGCGCAGAUAUCAGGAGGAACACCAAUAGCGAAGGCAGCUCGCUGGGACGUUACUGACACUGAGGCGCGAAAGCGUGGGGAGCGAACAGG
rnacentral:rRNA from 1 species